rnacentral:rRNA from 2 species
AGUUAUUAGGGUGAAUUAAUAAUUUUACCUGCUCAAUGCUAAGUUAAUAGCUGCAGUAUUUUGACUGUACUAAGGUAGCAUAAUCAAUAGCUUUUUAAUUGAAGGCUGGUAUGAAUGGUUAAUACUAUAAGGGAAGUUUUGUUAAUCAAUUUUGAAUUUAAAAUAAAAGUAAAAAUGCUUUUAUAAAAUCCUGGGACGAGAAGACCCUAGAAGCUUAAAGAUAAUAUAUUUUAGUUGGGGUGAUUAAUGAAGAUUUUAAUCUUUAGUUUAGAAAUAAGUAGUUAAUAGUUACUCUAGGGAUAACAGCGUUAUUUAGUUUAAGAGUUCUUAUUUGAAAUUAAGUUUGCGACCUCGAUGUUGAAUUAAAUGGAAGUAUGGUGAAGAAGCUAUAUAUUUGUAGUCUGUUCGACUAUUAAAUUUUUACA